UACGUAGGGUGCAAGCGUUUGUCCGGAAUUAUUGGGCGUAAAGAGCUCGUAGGCGGUCUGUCGCGUCGGAUGUGAAAGCCCGGGGCUUAACCCCGGGUCUGCAUUCGAUACGGGCAGACUAGAGUGUGGUAGGGGAGAUCGGAAUUCCUGGUGUAGCGGUGAAAUGCGCAGAUAUCAGGAGGAACACCGGUGGCGAAGGCGGAUCUCUGGGCCAUUACUGACGCUGAGGAGCGAAAGCGUGGGGAGCGAACAGG
rnacentral:rRNA from 1 species